rnacentral:lncRNA from 1 species
ACCCCACUUCUUCCUUUCAGGAGGAUCCCAUAUACAGAAUAAUUAUUUAUUACUUAGUCUAAUCCACACUGGCACCAAUGCCUCAUGCUAGAUCUAUUAUUAAGCAACUUAAUCUCUCAAGGUUGUAGGUAUAAAGGGCAAUGAAGAGUAUGAAAAAUGUUUCUGGAGUUAAAAGUGAUACUGGGAGCUCACGAAUGGACAGAAAGCGUGGGAAAUACGCAGUGAAUAUUGAGCACUCUGGAAAACAGCUGCCAUUCCUGAGCCCAACAAAUUGUGAAGCUCACAACUCAGAAUGUCAGUUUUCUACAUCAGCUGGUCCUACUGGCACCAAUUUAACUGAGGUCUGCACCGACUCAGGGCCCGUCGGUCACUCAGAAUUCCCAAACCAAGAAUUUCCACAGGUAAUGUUUGGGAACAACACUGCUUCUCUGGGUUAAGAUAAAAUCCAUGUGAAAGUCCACUACUCAAUCAAUCGACACUGACAUCUUUCUUGUGAGAGCUGUAGAAUUGAAUGUAUGGGAGGUAGAA